UACGGGGGGGGCAAGCGUUGUUCGGAAUUACUGGGCGUAAAGGGCUCGUAGGUGGCCAACUAAGUCAGACGUGAAAUCCCUCGGCUUAACCGGGGAACUGCGUCUGAUACUGGAUGGCUUGAGUUCGGGAGAGGGAUGCGGAAUUCCAGGUGUAGCGGUGAAAUGCGUAGAUAUCUGGAGGAACACCGGUGGCGAAGGCGGCAUCCUGGACCGGCAUUGACGCUGAGGCGCGAAAGCCAGGGGGGCAAACGGG
rnacentral:rRNA from 1 species